AUGCACGCUGGCGGCGUGCCUCAUCCAUGCAAGUCGAGCGAACGGACGAGAAGCUUGCUUUUCUGAUGUUAGCGGCGGACGGGUGAGUAACACGUGGAUAACCUACCUAUAAGACUGGGAUAACUUCGGGAAACCGGAGCUAAUACCGGAUAAUAUUUUGAACCGCAUGGUUCAAAAGUGAAAGACGGCCUUGCUGUCACUUAUAGAUGGAUCCGCGCUGCAUUAGCUAGUUGGUAAGGUAACGGCUUACCAAGGCAACGAUGCAUAGCCGACCUGAGAGGGUGAUCGGCCACACUGGAACUGAGACACGGUCCAGACUCCUACGGGAGGCAGCAGUAGGGAAUCUUCCGCAAUGGGCGAAAGCCUGACGGAGCAACGCCGCGUGAGUGAUGAAGGUCUUCGGAUCGUAAAACUCUGUUAUUAGGGAAGAACAUAUGUGUAAGUAACUGUGCACAUCUUGACGGUACCUAAUCAGAAAGCCACGGCUAACUACGUG
rnacentral:rRNA from 1 species